rnacentral:lncRNA from 1 species
GUGAGAAACAGUCUUUACAUAAGAACAAUGUAAAGAAGACUCACUAAAGUACAUUGUGGGCCAGGAGCUGGCUCCAGAAAGAGAUGUUCAAAGAUAAAGCUGAGUUUCUUCAGUACGUAUUGUGUUCUCUGGCAUUGGCAGCAUCUAAUCUUGACGUGGAAGACACUUGGGUGUUUUACAGCUGUUGCAGAGUAAGAAGUGUCAACUUCAUUGGACAUGAAGGAGAAAUCUCAAACAGAGCGGGAAGCAAUUAUGUAUUCAAGGUCAGGCAGAGCAAGAAACAUGCAUCAGAGCCCCCACCUGAGGCAGAGAACCAGCCAUUAGUCACAGCGAGUCACAGCACAAUUGUCCACGCUGCAAAACCUGACUUAAUUGGAAUCAACAAGGCCAGAACAAACUUCUGAAUGUAUGCCAGUCUCUUUUCAUGAAGGGACUGUGCAGUCAGUUAGAUUGGAACUUGAAUAAAUCGUUUUUU